CUACGGGUCGCUGCAGUGGGGAAUAUUGCACAAUGGACGAAAGUCUGAUGCAGCAACGCCGCGUGGAGGAUGACACAUUUCGGUGCGUAAACUCCUUUUAUAUAAGAAGAUAAUGACGGUAUUAUAUGAAUAAGCACCGGCUAACUCCGUGCCAGCAGCCGCGGUAAUACGGAGGGUGCAAGCGUUACUCGGAAUCACUGGGCGUAAAGAGCGUGUAGGCGGAUAGAUAAGUUGGAAGUGAAAUCCUAUGGCUCAACCAUAGAACUGCUUCCAAAACUGUCUAUCUAGAAUAUGGGAGAGGUAGAUGGAAUUUCUGGUGUAGGGGUAAAAUCCGUAGAGAUCAGAAGGAAUACCGAUUGCGAAGGCGAUCUACUGGAACAUUAUUGACGCUGAGACGCGAAAGCGUGGGGAGCAAACAGGAUUAGAUACCCCCGUAGUC
rnacentral:rRNA from 1 species